UGGGGAAUUUUGGACAAUGGGCGAAAGCCUGAUCCAGCAAUGCCGCGUGUGUGAAGAAGGCCUUCGGGUUGUAAAGCACUUUUGUCCGGAAAGAAAUCCUUGGCUCUAAUACAGUCGGGGGAUGACGGUACCGGAAGAAUAAGCACCGGCUAACUACGUGCCAGCAGCCGCGGUAAUACGUAGGGUGCAAGCGUUAAUCGGAAUUACUGGGCGUAAAGCGUGCGCAGGCGGUUUGCUAAGACCGAUGUGAAAUCCCCGGGCUCAACCUGGGAACUGCAUUGGUGACUGGCAGGCUAGAGUAUGGCAGAGGGGGGUAGAAUUCCACGUGUAGCAGUGAAAUGCGUAGAGAUGUGGAGGAAUACCGAUAGCGAAGGCAGCCCCCUGGGCCAAUACUGACGCUCAUGCACGAAAGCGUGGGGAGCAAACAGGAUUAGAUACCCUGGUAGUCCACGCCCUAAACGAUGUCAACUAGUUGUUGGGGAUUCAUUUCCUUAGUAACGUAGCUAACGCGUGAAGUUGACCGCCUGGGGAGUACGGUCGCAAGAUUAAAACUUAAAGGAAUUGACGGGGUCAUAGCUGUUU
rnacentral:rRNA from 1 species